rnacentral:lncRNA from 1 species
GGAUAGUAAGAAAGCUAUUUGGAUUAAACCUUGUGAAAUUUGCAUGCAUUUACGUUAUUGUAUUGGCAAAAUGUAUUAUUUGGUGUAUAUAGGAAACUUAAACUGUUCUGCUAUAUUGCUACUAUACUUGUGAAAAACACUUGGCAACAGAAACGCAUUCAUCUUAUUUAUAUUAAAAUCGACCCAAUUUACAUAGAAAUGGACGUCUUCGUGCAUUUUGUGAUCGCAAAUAAAAUAUGUUCCGGACCUUAUGAGUAUUUGGACCAUACGCGCAUGAUCAUACCCGUCAUACGCGUACGGUCGGACCAUACGUGUAUGGUUGGACCAUAUGAGUAUACGCGUAUGGUCAUGACAUAUGCGUAUGGUCCAAAUACUCAUAUGGUCCGGAACACAUACAUGAUAUUCUGUGCGUUGUCGGUCGUCUAUUCAUUUUUUUUCUUUUGUUGAUGGAUUUGACGUCUUUCUGUGAGUGAUUAUUUGUUCAUGACUUUAAACUUACUUGCAAAUAAUUUAAAACCAAGACUUGAUUUAUAAAAAUGUUCAAACAAACCAUGAUUUUUUUUAAACAUACAUCACAUCCAUUGAAAAAGGCUAAAAUUCGCCAGGCCUUUAAUUUCAACUAAGUGAGUUGACUAAAGUAAUGUUGC